rnacentral:rRNA from 1 species
AUUGAACGCUGGCGGCAUGCCUUACACAUGCAAGUCGAACGGAUUUAAGGGGCUUGCUCCUUAAGUUAGUGGCGAACGGGUGAGUAAAGUAUCGGAACGUACCAUUCAGUGGGGGAUAACGUAGCGAAAGUUACGCUAAUACCGCAUAUUCUGUGAGCAGGAAAGCAGGGGAUCGCAAGACCUUGCGCUGAUUGAGCGGCCGAUAUCAGAUUAGCUAGUUGGUGGGGUAAAGGCCCACCAAGGCUACGAUCUGUAGCGGGUCUGAGAGGAUGAUCCGCCACACUGGGACUGAGACACGGCCCAGACUCCUACGGGAGGCAGCAGUGGGGAAUUUUGGACAAUGGGGGCAACCCUGAUCCAGCCAUGCCGCGUGAGUGAAGAAGGCCUCGGUUGUAAGUACUCUUCGUGGGUAGGAAAGUACGCGCUCGUUAAUAGUCGGGCGUGGAGUGACGGUACCCGGCCGACCAAGAAGACACCGGCGUAACUAACGUGCCACGCAGCCGCGGUAAACCGU